UACGUAGGGUGCAAGCGUUAAUCGGAAUUACUGGGCGUAAAGCGUGCGCAGGCGGUUUUGUAAGUUUGUCGUGAAAGCCCCCGGGCUCAACCUGGGAAUUGCGAUGGAGACUGCAAGGCUAGAAUCUGGCAGAGGGGGGUAGAAUUCCACGUGUAGCAGUGAAAUGCGUAGAGAUGUGGAGGAACACCAAUGGCGAAGGCAGAUCUCUGGGCCGUAACUGACGCUGAG
rnacentral:rRNA from 1 species